rnacentral:rRNA from 1 species
AUUGAACGCUGGCGGCAGGCCUAACACAUGCAAGUCGAGCGGAUGAAGGGAGCUUGCUCCUGGAUUCAGCGGCGGACGGGUGAGUAAUGCCUAGGAAUCUGCCUGGUAGUGGGGGAUAACGUCCGGAAACGGGCGCUAAUACCGCAUACGUCCUGAGGGAGAAAGUGGGGGAUCUUCGGACCUCACGCUAUCAGAUGAGCCUAGGUCGGAUUAGCUAGUUGGUGGGGUAAAGGCCUACCAAGGCGACGAUCCGUAACUGGUCUGAGAGGAUGAUCAGUCACACUGGAACUGAGACACGGUCCAGACUCCUACGGGAGGCAGCAGUGGGGAAUAUUGGACAAGGGGCGAAAGCCUGAUCCAGCCAUGCCGCGUGUGUGAAGAGGUCUUCGGAUUGUAAAGCACUUUAAGUUGGGAGGAAGGGCAGUAAGUUAAUACCUUGCUGUUUUGACGUUACCAACAGAAUAAGCACCGGCUAACUUCGUG